UACAGAGGGUGCGAGCGUUGUUCGGAAUUAUUGGGCGUAAAGGGCGCGUAGGCGGCCUGGCAAGUGGAAGGUGAAAUCCCUCGGCUUAACCGGGGAACUGCCCUCCAAACUGCUUGGCUUGAGUCCGGGAGAGGUGAGUGGAAUUCCCAGUGUAGCGGUGAAAUGCGUAGAUAUUGGGAGGAACACCAGUGGCGAAGGCGGCUCACUGGACCGGAACUGACGCUGAGGCGCGAAAGCGUGGGGAGCAAACGGG
rnacentral:rRNA from 1 species